rnacentral:rRNA from 1 species
CAGACGGGUGAGUAAUGUAUAGGAAUCUACCUAGUAGUACGGAAUAAUUGUUGGAAACGGCAACUAAUACCGUAUACGCCCUCGGGGGAAACAGUUUAUUGCUAUUAGAUGAGCCUAUAUUAGAUUAGCUAGUUGGUGGAGUAAUAGCCUACCAAGGCAAUGAUCUAUAGCUGAUCUGAGAGGAUGAUUAACCACACUGGAACUGAGAUACGGUCCAG